CUCAUAUAUAAGCAAGGACAAGAAGGAAGUUGCUCUCUUUCUCUUCAUCCUGCUCUCUUCUCUACAGAGCUGUCAUUUGAUCCCAGGAAGAGGACACCAGCGGAAGGCAUCCUUGAUAAGGCUGACAGAAGAUUAAGAAAUGAGCAAUUGUCAUGUUGGGAUAAGUGGACACUACUGAUGCCAGAAGACUGCUCUCUCUCAAGCAGCUCAAAACCAGCCUGGAGGUAGAGUCAGUGGACCAGAUCAGUGGCCAGGUAAGCAGGAUACUGCCAAUGGGAGGCAGGCUGGACAGGCAGGGCAUUGAAUAUGAUGUGAUUAUAACAGGUGUUGAAACAGUUCCUACAGCAGUUCUGAAGCCAGAAUGGACCCUUGAAUUCAUCCCAAAUUGACAAAAGAGAGCCCAGGCCUUUUAAGGGCAGGAGAGCAGCUCUAUGCUAGGUGAACCUGGGAAAGGAGAGGUAUGACCAUGGGCUGGGCGCCCCCUUCAGGAAGCUGAGGCAAUUCCUGGUUUUAGUGCCUGCUAAAGCCUGACCCUGGAGCUGGUUUGAAUGGAGCCAGAAUGAGUUAAGGAGGGCGAGGAGGCUUUAAUGGACAAGGAUCCGAAUAGCCCAGCUUGUGCGGCCUCCUGCGGACUCACCCUCCUUUUCACAGGCCUCGAUUGUGUUUGGCCCCAGCAGAGACAAAG
rnacentral:lncRNA from 1 species